UUUGAAUCACAGAGGUUUAUUUACAAAACAGGGGGCAGGUAAAGGGCAGUAAUCCAGGGCAGAGUCCGUAAGGUACAGAACGGCAGGCAGGCUCAGGGACAAGACAGGUCAAAACCGGGAGGACUAGAAAUCAGACACUGGUAAACUUGACAAGAUGAACUGGCAACACACAAACAGAAAACACAGGUAUAAAUACACUGGGGAUAAUGGGGAAGAUGGACGGCACCUGGAGGGGGGUGGAGACAAGCACAAUCCCCCAACUGGGGGCAGGUGAAACAGAUCAGGGUGUGAUAGAGCAAUAACGUUGGACAGACCAUAAACUGAUCUGGGACCAGGCUAGGCAACUCUAUAGUUACGUUUAAAAAACUGUAGUUUUUAUCCUGAAGAAAAAAUUUGUCAGACACAUUUCAUUUUUCUGUGGUCUACAUUUUGAUUCUGCGAAGGUUGAUAACAGUGACAUCCAAUCAGAAUUCAGACUGCCUGCCCUGAAUGAUUUUUUCUGCCUAGCAACACUCUUUGGUCUGCUGGGUCCCUCUAGAGGUGACCAUGAACACAACACUAGAUGAGAACAGUGGGUUAUGUUAUUGCAAUGUGUCUGUGUUUUGAAGGCCAGUAGUUCUCAACCUUUUCGGUUGCUGUACCACCAAGUAUAUUUUGUUCUGCCCGGAGGAGCCCUGAAGGACCCCCUCAUGUGAGUUUACCAGUAAACCUAUGGUCUCAUGAGUUCUCAAGUACCCCAUGUGGAGAGGCCCAGGCAGUAAAUAUAGGAGUCCUGGUUGAUAUCCACUGGUGUAUGUCUACUGUAGAGACAGAGUCCUGGUGGAUAUCCACUAGUGUAGGUCUACUGUAGAGACAGAGUCCUGGUUGAUAUCCACUAGUGUAGGUCUACUGUAGAGACAGAGUCCUGGUUGAUAUCCACUAGUGUAGGUCUACUGUAGAGACAGAGUCCUGGUUGAUAUCCACUAGUGUAGGUCUACUGUAGAGACAGAGUCCUGGUUGAUAUCCACUGAUGGAGGUCUACUGUAGAGACAGAGUCCUGGUUGAUAUCCACUGGUGUAGGUCUACUGUAGAGACAGAGUCCUGGUUGAUAUCCACUGGUGUAGGUCUA
ensembl:lncRNA